rnacentral:lncRNA from 1 species
UGAGAAUCACGAUCCACAGGUCGACAGCCACGAUCACUCUUAACACAUACAAUCUUCUUUAAUUUACUUUUCAUUCUUUAUUGUCCAAGACUAGCCAGUAGCCAUGACAUAUACCUUCGUUAAAGUCUUAAGCUUCGCAGUACUUACAAACGGUAAAAAUUGUCGUCACUGAAUGUUUGGGAUGGAUCUAAAAAAAGGUAUUUUCAAGGAAAAAGAAAGCUAACGAAAUCAUUUCGAUAGCAUCUCCACUCCAGGACCGACCGUUUCCAUCUCUCAACAUGGUGAAUAGCUAGACUGAAGAGCAGUGUACUUGGACCGAUACCUUCGAAACUGGGAGCUCAACGUGAUUUGGUAUCGUGCUAGCAGAUCAACCAGUGGGCAGAUGUCGAAGUGAAAUCUGCAGUAAUCUCCUGUGACUAAUACGCCAUUCAGUUGCCACCAAAUUAAGGAGAUUUUCUAUUCGACCCAACCUGGACCAGCCAGAGUGCUUGACGCAAGUGAACUGAUUCGGGGGGUUUUUGCAUCCCUAAAAUAAUUCCAAAACCACCAUAUUAGUUUAUCCGAUCAAAGGAAAAGCCACCGUAAAUUUUGGUACCUUACGAGCCAGUAUCAAUCCAGCGUCAUUAAAAUGCCACAAAUGGAAGAAAUAGUUGGAGUUCACAGGUGUUCCUCGGAGGAGCUACGUCGAUGUAAACACUCGAGGACUUGACUGAUGGACAGCAGGAUUGGUGCUAGAUUAUUGAAGACACCGUCUGUUAUGCACGUCUGUAACAGACUGCUUUGACCGGAAAGCUGCUGAGUCCAGGCCGUCAGUGUCGACACAAAAAUGAGGGUUACCUGGGUGGUGGCCAGUUCUGCAUCCCAGAUCAGCUAUCAUCAAGUUAAGCAGGACAUGGAAGACUUCCGGAAAAUCGGUUAAACUCUAUUCAUCUAUCAGCGUGGUAUCCUAGCUUUUUACUGUACAUGUGCAUCUGACUACAAUGGUUGGCCGGACUACUGACAUAUGCCUGCCGAUCACAACAAGGAUUGGACGAAAGGUGGAAGGGAGAGGUUAAUGAACACAUCGCUGGAGCACCUCCUAAACGGUUUCCAUCAUCAGUGCGUAGUGUAAUAGCUUAGACGUACGUCCAUAGUAUGGGGUAAUAGGUGAUAGUUUGGCCGAUAUCUCCGAGUCUGGAAGCUCAACUGGUGGCCUCCAUAUCAGCUCUUAAGUCCUCUAAGAUGCAGUCAAGGCUUUAGUCUGGCAUUUUUUAAAUCAAAUUCUCUUCAAACCUCCCAUGCCUUUCAUCGUGAUCCGAAGCUAAAUAAGAAUUUUCAUAGCUGUCGCGUGACUGUUGACGAAAGACGAGGUUACGAGUUGAUGGGGUACUCUGUCACAUUGUCGGCAAAUCAGAUUGCCCAUUACAUUCAGUUCAAACAUCAAGAUUAUUUGGAUGCAAACAGACCGCAUUGACAGCGUUCAUUCAAAUCACCAAGUCCUUGAAGAUGAGAAUAUCGGAGGUGACUCAGUCCGAGUUAUAUUUUAUUCAUUUUCCCUCCUCCCAGUGUUAUCUCUGUGAGAAAACAAACAACUGCCAUAAUAUCGGAAUGGACAUUACCUCGCCCUAUACAGUGUUUUUGUGCUAUUAAUUGCAUCAAAAGGAGCAUAUUUUAUGCAUGUGAGAAUCAGAAAAAUAAUCCUGCAGAGAUAUUCAUUCUUGGCCCAAACCAACAUGACGUUCGCAUCGUCGUACGAUCCUUUCUCGCAACCCCUAUAUUCAACUGUUGACAAAAUGGGAGAAAAUUAUCACAUCUAUCACUCUUAUCAGCAGUACUGAUGCUGUAAUGGUCACCGAGCAGAGUUGUCUGAGCCGUCAAUGUCGACACAAAAAUUGGGUUAACCUUGUUGGUCGCUAGAACUGCAUACAGAUCAGCUAUCAUAACGAUAAGGUAACGUGUACUGGAAUUUAUACUUGGCAAUUCCGUUUGAUCAUGUGGCCUGCCGUACAAUUUCCCAAAAUGUCGUCUCUUGCUCUUGUUAUAUUUUGCACGUUUCGUCACAAGAUGAGGUAUUUCCACGCCAUUCGACCAAGCUGAACCAAAAGUGAACCAUUUAAAACAACAUGUCAAAGAUCUUGCCUUUCUCCACGUGGUCACUGCCUUUGCAUGAAGUUGCGUCUUUGUGAGGGUCUCUACUCUGACUAAUGUGAUGAAAAGAAGAAAUAUGAAUAGGUGGCUUUGUUGCAGCCAGCUGGUGAAAGGGAGUUCAAGUCAAGUUGAGCUGCAGCUUCUGGAAGCAGUCUACAUCUCUGGUGUUAUCCUGAAGUCGGGAAGUGUUACCUCAAGUGUAACAGCAAAAAAUACAUCUUGAAAUGGACAUGGUGAUAAUGUGAUGCAUCUUCAUGCAGUCUAUACAGGUGGUGUUUUUGUAGAAGCAAGACUUGAAGCUUAGCUGCAAGAAUAUUUUCUGAAAUGUCAAAAGUUCAACUCUAAACUGACACAGGAAUUAAGUGACAGAGACCACAAUUCUUCCCGUCUUUCGUAUUGAUUCCGUUGCCCAUAAUAAUGAUGGAUUACUCACGUUAUGUGCCUGGCAUGUAUAUCAUUCGCUUUCCCGUCCCUGGCCGUGAACUUGGGGAAUUAGAAAGCCAUGGUUGUAGUGCGUGUUUGAUCCAGCGUGACUUUCAUCACCUUCACACAAUUCCAUGGCGUCACGUGAAGAAACGAGAAUCAAUAACGAUUCCGGUCUGGUGACGACAUCGAGAAGUCUGGGUUUCCGUUCAGCCACACAAGAUAUUGCAUCUAUUGAAUUGGGAUCGUUAAAAACAUCACGUGUCGUUGCACCUUAACGACGAUGGGCGUAUUUGGUUGCGCCACGUUGACUUUAAAAGAGGAAGGAAGAGAGUGAGGGCGCGGGGGGGUUUGCGACCUCCAGAGGGGACAGAGAAAGACGAGUGAUGAGAAUAUGAUGGCCAACUUGUUGAUGUUCCUCACCGCUGCGUUCCUGACGGUUCCUGAUUUCGUCCGGAAGCGUUCAUUCAGCUGCUGCCAAGAACAGAAGAGGACGUCAAUGGACAGAGACAUCAGGUCAUUCUACAAUUUACCAUUAUUUUUUUUUUGACGUCCAGCGACGCCAAGACGCUCGGAGGUGCCGCCUCUCUCAUCGCCUCCUCUCCGUCCCACCAACAGCAGCAGCAGACGGGCGGGAGUGGCAAGUUGCUGGACCAGGACAAGUUCUCCUGUCAGAACCGAUUCGUCGCCCUGUGCAUCGAAGCCACCAGCCAAGGCGUCGCCACCGGUGGCAGUGGGCGGGUGAAGCGGACGGCCGAGCACAUCAUCUCGGAAAAUCACUACCAAGCCCACCUUCAGUCUCUCUUUUAAGAUGUUCAUUUGUCGUGUUCCAGAAAUCUCUCCCACGCAAAUUUUCGAUUUAAAUCUGAAAAUGAUUGGCAAAAAUGACCCACGAGUCGACCAAAGACCCGAAGGCAGUUCUUUGUCUCUGCAUUUCCUUUUUUUUUAAAUGUUUUCUAAACUUGUGCAGCUUUUUUUGGGGGGCGGGGGGGGGGGGGGGAAAUAAAAAACAAUCCGACGACAAUCAACCCAAAAUGUCGUCGUUGGCGAUUUAUAUAUUUUUGAAUUUUUACCCCUGUCCACUCCCCUUGUUUUUCUCUCGCCCCCAGCGGAAUGAUGAGAUUGUCUAUGUGUGUGUUGAAUCAGUCACGAAAUGUGUUCUGCGUCCAAAGUCUUUGAUAUAACACAAGAAAACAAAAACAAAACA